rnacentral:rRNA from 1 species
CAGGCUUAACACAUGCAAGUCGAGGGGCAGCAUGGUCUUAGCUUGCUAAGGCCGAUGGCGACCGGCGCACGGGUGAGUAACACGUAUCCAACCUGCCGUCUACUCUUGGACAGCCUUCUGAAAGGAAGAUUAAUACAAGAUGGCAUCAUGAGUCCGCAUGUUCACAUGAUUAAAGGUAUUCCGGUAGACGAUGGGGAUGCGUUCCAUUAGAUAGUAGGCGGGGUAACGGCCCACCUAGUCUUCGAUGGAUAGGGGUUCUGAGAGGAAGGUCCCCCACAUUGGAACUGAGACACGGUCCAAACUCCUACGGGAGGCAGCAGUGAGGAAUAUUGGUCAAUGGGCGAGAGCCUGAACCAGCCAAGUAGCGUGAAGGAUGACUGCCCUAUGGGUUGUAAACUUCUUUUAUAAAGGAAUAAAGUCGGGUAUGGAUACCCGUUUGCAUGUACUUUAUGAAUAAGGAUCGGCUAACUCCGUGCCAGCAGCCGCGGUAAUACGGAGGAUCCGAGCGUUAUCCGGAUUUAUUGGGUUUAAAGGGAGCGUAGAUGGAUGUUUAAGUCAGUUUGUGAAAGUUUGCGGCUCAACCGUAAAAUUGCAGUUGAUACUGGAUAUCUUGAGUGCAGUUGAGGCAGGCGGAAUUCGUGGUGUAGCGGCGAAAUGCUUAGAUAUCACGAAGAACUCCGAUUGCGAAGGCAGCCUUGCUAAGCUGCAACUGACAUUGAAGCUCGAAAGUGUGGGUAUCAAACAGGAUUAGAUACCCUGGUAGUCCACACGGUAAACGAUGAAUACUCGCUGUUUGCGAUAUACUGCAAGCGGCCAAGCGAAAGCGUUAAGUAUUCCACCUGGGGAGUACGCCGGCAACGGUGAAACUCAAAGGAAUUGACGGGGGCCCGCACAAGCGGAGGAACAUGUGGUUUAAUUCGAUGAUACGCGAGGAACCUUACCCGGGCUUAAAUUGCAGAUGAAUUACGGUGAAAGCCGUAAGCCGCAAGGCAUCUGUGAAGGUGCUGCAUGGUUGUCGUCAGCUCGUGCCGUGAGGUGUCGGCUUAAGUGCCAUAACGAGCGCAACCCUUGUUGUCAGUUACUAACAGGUUCCGCUGAGGACUCUGACAAGACUGCCAUCGUAAGAUGUGAGGAAGGUGGGGAUGACGUCAAAUCAGCACGGCCCUUACGUCCGGGGCUACACACGUGUUACAAUGGGGGGUACAGAGGGCCGCUACCACGCGAGUGGACGCCAAUCCCCAAAACCUCUCUCAGUUCGGACUGGAGUCUGCAACCCGACUCCACGAAGCUGGAUUCGCUAGUAAUCGCGCAUCAGCCACGGCGCGGUGAAUACGUUCCCGGGCCUUGUACACACCGCCCGUCAAGCCAUGGGAGCCGGGGGUACCUGAAGUGCGUAACCGCGAGGAGCGCCCUAGGGUAAAACUGGUGACUGGGGCUAAGUCG